rnacentral:rRNA from 1 species
ACGGGUGAGUAACACGUGGGCAAUCUGCCCUGCACUCUGGGACAAGCCCUGGAAACGGGGUCUAAUACCGGAUAAUACUUUCUCCUGCAUGGGGGAGGGUUAAAAGCUCCGGCGGUGCAGGAUGAGCCCGCGGCCUAUCAGCUUGUUGGUGGGGUGAUGGCCUACCAAGGCGACGACGGGUAGCCGGCCUGAGAGGGCGACCGGCCACACUGGGACUGAGACACGGCCCAGACUCCUACGGGAGGCAGCAGUGGGGAAUAUUGCACAAUGGGCGAAAGCCUGAUGCAGCGACGCCGCGUGAGGGAUGACGGCCUUCGGGUUGUAAACCUCUUUCAGCAGGGAAGAAGCGAGAGUGACGGUACCUGCAGAAGAAGCGCCGGCUAACUACGUGCCAGCAGCCGCGGUAAUACGUAGGGCGCAAGCGUUGUCCGGAAUUAUUGGGCGUAAAGAGCUCGUAGGCGGUUUGUCACGUCGGAUGUGAAAGCCCGGGGCUUAACCCCGGGUCUGCAUUCGAUACGGGCAGACUAGAGUGUGGUAGGGGAGAUCGGAAUUCCUGGUGUAGCGGUGAAAUGCGCAGAUAUCAGGAGGAACACCGGUGGCGAAGGCGGAUCUCUGGGCCAUUACUGACGCUGAGGAGCGAAAGCGUGGGGAGCGAACAGGAUUAGAUACCCUGGUAGU